rnacentral:rRNA from 1 species
UGCGCCUUGCCAGCCCGCUCAGAAACUUAAAGGAAUUGACGGGGGCCCGCACAAGCGGCGGAGCAUGUGGAUUAAUUCGAUGCAACGCGAAGAACCUUACCUGGGUUUGACAUACACCGGAAAACCGUAGAGAUACGGUCCCCCUUGUGGUCGGUGUACAGGUGGUGCAUGGCUGUCGUCAGCUCGUGUCGUGAGAUGUUGGGUUAAGUCCCGCAACGAGCCGCAACCCUUUGUCUUAUGUUGCCAGCACGUGAUGGUGGGGACUCGUAAGAGACUGCCGGGGUCAACUCGGAGGAAGGUGGGGACGACGUCAAGUCAUCAUGCCCCUUAUGUCCAGGGCUUCACACAUGCUACAAUGGCCAGUACAGAGGGCUGCGAGACCGUGAGGUGGAGCGAAUCCCUUAAAGCUGGUCUCAGUUCGGAUCGGGGUCUGCAACUCGACCCCGUGAAGUCGGAGUCGCUAGUAAUCGCAGAUCAGCAACGCUGCGGUGAAUACGUUCCCGGGCCUU